GGCUCUGUUCUGUUCCAUUGAUCUAUAUCUCUGUUUUGGUACCAGUACCAUGCUGUUUUGGUUACUGUAGCCUUGUAGUAUAGUUUGAAGUCAGGUAGCGUGAGAGCCAAAUCAUGAGUGAACUCCCAUUCACAAUUGCUUCAAAGAGAAUAAAAUACCUAGGAAUCCAACUUACAAGGGAUGUGAAGGACCUCUUCAAGGAGAACUACAAACCACUGCUCAAAGAAAUAAAAGAGGAUACAAACAAAUGGAAGAACAUUCCAUGCUCAUGGGUAGGAAGAAUCAAUAUCGUGAAAAUGGCCAUACUGCCCAAGGUAAUUUAUAGAUUCAAUGCCAUCUUCAUCAAGCUACCAAUGACUUUCUUCACAGAAUUGGAAAAAACUACUUUAAAGUUCAUAUGGAACCAAAAAAGAGCCCGCAUUGCCACGUCAAUCCUAAGCCAAAAGAACUACAUUUCUUAACCAACUGUAUUUCUGCUUACCCAGAAAAACAAGAUUGCUGUUGCUGUUGCUGUUGGUUUUUGCUAAAUUCCCUUGAUAAUCCUAUCACAAUUCCACUUCUUUUAGUGUUUUGUAAAUAUAAUAGUAUCUUCAUGGGAUAUUUUGAACUACAAAUGUUUAAAAGAAUUCUGAUGACAUAGUUGCACAGCCGUAUUAACAGGGUGGCCUUGUUUCCAAGUGGGGUUUUCUGACUGAAUAGGGGUUUCAGGGCUUCCUUAUAAACUGUCAAAAUGCUAAAAACAGUGAAAGAAGUUGUCUACUAAUUCAAAUAAAAAUAGUCCCUAAAGAGCUAGGUUCACCUGAAUGACAAAAGUUUUUAAAGGUGACACCAGGGGGAGAUCUGAUAAAAGCAACAGGAGUUCUAGUACAAUUUUAAAGAAUUAAGAUAGCAAUAGUGGAUAUGGUAUCUAGUAGAAAAGCUUCGGAAUUGGAAUUAGAAGUUUCAGGGUCUGCAGAUGUAAACAAUAUGCCUAUAUUUGUACCAUUUUAUCAGAAAAACGUAAUGAAAUUAUUUUAGUAUGAAGACUAUGCUAACUUUUUAGACAGUUAGAAACCCAAAAGGAGAAGCCACAAUCCUACCACCUGUUCACAACUGUUAAAAUCUUUUCACAUUUUCUGCCACCUUUGUCUAUGCGGGAGACCAGAAUAGGCUGCCCCCAAAUAUGAAGGAUUGUUGAGCUGAAGACAAUUAAGAAGCAGAUGCAGGAAAGCUCUCUCCUCUCUGUUUGCCUAAGAGCAGGACAUAGAUUUCCAAAGAAUGUGUCCUGUCCCAUCUUCUGCCAAGGAGAAUGAAGGUGAACCACUGCAGACAGCUUUAGAUGUAUCUCGCUUCUCUGCCUGGAGAUGGUACCAGAGGAAGCUACAAGAACAAGGUUUGCUAAGUACCCUUUAGUGUGUUAAAUUAAGUUUAGCCCAGUGCUGCCUCUUUAUGUAUUUUAAGUUCAGCCUACAGGCUGAACUCCAAACUUAGUGAACCGUAACCUAACUGGGUGUGUGAACCUAACUGGAUGUAAUCUACUCAGGCCAAUCACUGAGUUUCAGCCAAUGAAAGGCAGCCAACUGUUCAAACCAUAUUAAAAAAAAAAAAAAAAAAGCAAACACCAAGCAGUAACCAAUUCUGCUGUUUCUGUACCUCAUUUCUGUUUUCUGUACAUCACUUUCCUUUUUCUGUCUAUAAAUCUUUUUCUACCAUGAGGCAGGCCAGAGUCUCUCUGAACCUGUUUUGGUUUGAGGGCUGGCCAAUUCACGAAUCAUUCUUUGCUCAAUUAAACUCUGUUAAAUUUAAUUUGUCUAAGUUUUUCUUUUAACAUCUGCCAGCUAUUUGCCUUCCUCGAAGUUGCUUCCCGUAGAGACUCAAAGUCCUUUUCCUUUGUCUUAUCUUAUCACUUCUCUAAAAUUUUAUUGUUCUUUGUUGAAGAUGCUACGUAAGCUGAAUUUGAAGGCCACUCUUUCAGAACUACUCAUUUCCUGGGCGUCUCCCAUGUAUUUAUGAAACAUACAUGCUCAUAAACUUUGGUUUAUUUUUCUCUUGUUAAUCUGUCUUUUGUAACAAGGGUCCUUUUCAACUAAGAACCUCUGGGGGUAAUUAUUUUGCCUUUGUAUAUAUUUAGUUACUUUUCAAAGUUACAACUGUAUACUUCGUACAAUGUUAUGCAUUUUCAUAUUGUUACAGUCUAUAUAGUAAAUGGGGGAGUUUUUCAUUCACUUUUUUUUUUUUUUUUAAGAGAGGGUCUUUCUCUGUCCCCCAGGCUAGAGUGCAGUGGUGUGAUCAUAGCUCACUGCAGCCUUGCACACCUGGCCUCAAGCAAUCUUCCUGCCACAGCUUCCCAAAGCACUGCGGUUACAGGUGUGAGCCACUCUGCCUGGCCAUAAUCAUGGCUUUUAAUGCACAUAUUUGGCUUUCUUGCUUUCUUCACUGGCAUCUUCCUCUUGUCCCACAACAUAUUAUUCAGAAUUUUUCUUUGUUAAAAAAAAAAAAGUCUUUUUUAGCUCUUUAUUUUAAAUAGAAAGGUUUGAUCUAUAUUGCCAAGUGAAAAAAAGCAAGGCUCAGAGGGGAAAAAAUGUAUGUGGAAUGAUACUUGCCCCUUAGAAGUCAGGUAUCUUCUUUGAUUAGAGCAAGUAUUGAUUUUUGAGACUCCUCUAGUUAGGAAAGGUUGUCAUUCUACCAACAGCAAAGCUUUUGUGAUCUUUUUAGCAAUUCUUUGGCAGCUUUCUCUUUUCCCCGGGAACUCUUGUCUUCUCCAUAUUUCUUAAUCUAAUAAAAAAUUAUUUUCAUGUUCUGCCCUAGGAGUCAGCUCUGUGAAGUCAUAGCUGACUUUCUAGUUCAAUAUCUAAUAGCUACCCAUGUAAAGGACUCAAGGAAGGAUUGAUACACACCUUAGACCUGAAGCUAGAACUCAUCCUUAGUACUAUACUUCUAUAUACUAAAUCACUUCCAUACUGCAGUUAUUGGUCUGCCUGAGUUCCUUUAGCCCUCUGAAUUAAUCUCAACUAUCUGAGGCAAGAUAAUAUUGUGCAUUUUUAUUUCUGCAUCGUAUUAGCAGAUCAAUAUUUCUUAAGCAAAAAAGCAGACAUGAUUAAAGUAUUUUAACUGGGUCCCUCCACCUUUCAGAUAAAGGACUGUCAGAACUUGACAGAAUCAACCAGGCGGUCGCUUCACUUUUCUAAACCAUGUCUUCAACUGUGCCAUUCACCCCUUCCUUCCCCCUUGAGGGCAGUCAAAGUUCUUGCUCUCAUCUGUCUUCCCUCUUUUUGGCAAUGUGUAGCUCAGCACUCUGAACACUAACCUGGUACAUAGUAGGUAUUCAAUAAAUUUAUCAAGUGAAUGGAUGAAAAGAAUGAAUUCUUACAAAACAAAUUACUGAGAUGCUAUAGAAAGUGUUUCACAUCAGACUUCCUUUAAAUCCUGUAAUGUUGUAAAGUAGGUAUUAUUAUGCCCAUUUUACAGAGGAAAAAAUGAAGUCUCAGGGAACAAAGUGACUUUUUUCAGGUUUACCUAUCCACUUGUGGUAGCCUGUAUAAUCCCCCCCACCCUGACCCCCACCAAUGAUAUCCACAUCCUAAUCUCUAGAACCCACAGAUAUGUUACCUUAUGUGGCAAAAGGAGCUUUGCAGAUGUGGUAAAUUAAGGCUGUUGAGAUGGGAAGAUUAUCCUGGAUUAUUGGGGUGAGCCCAGUGUAAUCACGAGGGUUCUCAUAGAAGUGGGGUAGAGGGGUCAGCUGGAUAGAGGAAGGCAAGGUGAAAACAAAUGCUGAGGGGAAGGAAUGAAUGCAGGUGGCCUCCAGAAGCUAGAAAAGGCAAGGAUAAUGGAUUGUUCCCCACAGCUGCCAAGCGGAAUGCAUCCUGCCCACAUCUUGACUGCAGCCUGUAAAACCCACUUUGGACUUCUGAUCUCCAGAAUGGUGACCUCAAGGAAGGAGGCUGGUUGUGGGAGGAGGUUGUCCCAGUGUCUGUAUAAUCCUGGCAUGAGUGUUGACAUGGAAGACAUUCAAUUCUGGAAAGAAAAUGUGCAGAAGAGUGGAGAAGUGAAAUCAAGAUGGUAGCAAUAGAAAUAAACAGAAAUGAUGGUCAAGAAACUCAGAAGAAUAAAUGGGUGAAAUCAGGACCACAAGCUGUGUGGCAGGUUGGAAGAAAAAGAUGUUUUUGCCUCAUGUAAGCAAAACAAACCGAAAAGUUAAGAAAGAAGAUUCUAAUGGAGACGUAGAAUUACAACUGUGGAAGCAUGUGUUAAAAGAGAGCCAACACAGUAACCAAAACAGCAUGGUACUGGUACCAAAACAGAGAUAUAGACCAAUGGAACAGAACAGAGAUCUCAGAAAUAACACCACACAUCUACAACCAUCUGAUCUUUGACAAACCCGACAAAAACAAGCAAUGGGGAAAGGAUUCCCUAUUCAAUAAAUGGUGCUGGGAAAACUGGCUAACCAUAUGCAGAAAACAGAAACUGGACCACUUCCUUACACCUUAUACAAAAAAUGAACUCAAGAUGGAUUAAAGACUUAAAUGUAAAACCCAAAACCAUGAAAACCCUAGAAGGAAACCUAGGCAAUACCACUCAGGACAUAGGCAUGGGAAAGGACUUCACGACCAAAAUACCAAAAGCAAUGGCAACUAAAGCCAAAAUUGACAAAUAGGAUCUAAUUAAACUAAACAGCUUCUGCACAGCAAAAGAAACUAUCAUCAGAGUGAGUAGGCAACCUACAAAUUGGGAGAAAAUUUUUUGCAAUCUACCUAUCUGGAAAAGGUCUAAUAUCCAGAAUCUAUAAGGAACUUAAACAAAAUUUCAAGAAAAAAACAAACAACCCCAUCAAAAUGUGGGUGAAGAAUAUGAGCAGACACUUCUUAAAAGAAGAUAUUUAUGGAGCCAACAAACAUGAAAAAAAGCUCAUCGUCACUGGGCAUUAGCCAAAUGCAAAUCAAAACCACAAUGAGAUACCAUCUCACGCCAGUCAGAAUGGCGAUCAUUAAAACGUCAGGAAACAACAGAUGCUGGUGAGGCUGUAGAGAAAUAGGAACACUUUUACACUGUUGGUGGGAAUGUAAAUUAGUUCAACCAUUGUGGAAGGCAGUGUGGUGAUUCCUCAAGGAUCUAGACCCAGAAAUACCAUUUGACCCAACAAUCACAUUACUGGGUAUAUACCCAAAGGAUUAUAAAAAUCAUUCUACUAUAAAGACACAUGCACACGUAUGUUUAUUGCAGCACUAUUUACAAUAGCAAAAACUUGGAACCAACCCAAAUGCCCAUCAGUGAUAGACUGGAUAAAGAAAAUGUGGCACAUAUACACCAUGGAAUACUAUACAGCCAUAAAAAGAAUGAGUUCCUGUCCUUUGCAGGGACAUGGAUGAAGCUGAAAGCCAUCACUCUCAGCAAACUAACACAACAACAGAAAGCCAAACACCGCAUGUUCUCACUCAUAAGUGGGAUUUGAACAAUGAGAACAUAUGGACACAGGGAGGGGAACAUCACACACUGGGGCCUGUUGAGGGGUGGGGAGCAAGGAGAGGGAGAGCAUUAGGACAAAUUCCUAAUGCAUGUGGGCCUUAAAACCUAGAUGACGGGUUGAUAGGUGCAGCAAACCACCAUGGUACAUGUAUACCUAUGCAACAAACCUGCACAUUCUGCACAUGUAUCCCAGAACUUAAAGUAACAUUACAUAAAAUAAAUAAAUUUAAAAAAACCAUGUGAGAGAGAAAAAAAUAAAAGAGAGACAGCCAGUCAGAUUUUUAAUGCUCAUCUAUGUACUUAUAUCCAGCAGUGGGCAUACAGAAAUACUGAUUAUGCAAAUAUGCUACAAAAUCAGGUAGGAUAAACCAGACAAGUAAUCUUUGGGGCCGAAGACUAGUUUUUCUGAGGUUGCAUAGUUGUUGUACAGGAAGGACAGACUGUGAAGAGCAGAGAAGCAAAAUCAGCAAAGCCAUAAGUAACAAUAUGUAUUACAUUGUGUGGGUUUUUUUCCCUAAACUCUGCUAAGUAAGGCUACUGCUUCCUGGCUAAGGAGAAAUCAUAGUGCUGCAAAUUACCAGGACAAAUCAAUCAUAGCAGGAGACUAAAACAACUUUACCCUUUUGUAAGCCCCUCUCUCUUAAUGCUCAUUUAAGGUUAUGGUGGAGCACAGCUGUGGUAUAACGACUAGGUGGGAAGGGAGGAAAAGGUUUCAUGGACAGGGAAAAGUACAGGAAAGGGUAUAACUGGAGGUAAGUAAUAGGGUCAUCGGGCUGGAGGAACACCCAGAACUCGAAGCACAGCUGUGAUUCAUUUGGGCACAUCAUUGGGAUUCUUGGGAGAGAGGAAGAGGCCAUUAAUGAAGGGCUGGCAGUUGAAAAUAUGGCAUCUAAAGGGACUUGGCAAAUCCAGGAUUGAUUCCAGCUAGGGUUAGUAUCCAAGGGGUAUCAAGUCUGUGGACCACUAGUACAGCGUCUGGCAAACUACAGCUCACAGACCAAAUCUGACCUGCUUCCUGUUUUCAUAUGGCCUGCAAGCUAAGGAUAAUUUUUACAUUUUUAAAUGGUUGAAAAAAAUCAAAAUAAUAAUAAUAUUUCAUGACAUGAAAUCUACAUUUCGGUGACCACAGAUAAAGUUUCAUAAGAACACAGCCACACUUAUUCCUUUCCACGCUGUCUAAGGCUGAUUUUGUACUACAGCAUCAGAGCUGAGUAGCUAUGAUGGAGACAUUUGGCCCUCAGAGCCUAAACUAUUUACUAUCUGACCCUUUACAGAAAAGGUUUGCUGAUCCCUGGGAUAAAAUCUGGGAAUUGAUCCGUAACUUUUCACAGUCAUGGGUCAACCAUAUGACUGAUCAUAAAAUCUAGAUUUUUUUUGUAUUAUUAUACAGAUCAAGUGUAGCUUUUGCAGCUUCCCAUCUUUUCAGUCUUAGGGAACACAUGACCAACUAGCCACCACCAAAGUUCCUGCAGGGUCAGCCCUCUUGAUUUCCACUCCUUCCCUGCUGCCCAGUCUGGUGACCAUGCAGAGCUUGCCUCUGCCACUCUGAGAUCCCAUCACGCCCACUGAGCUCACUGAAAUCAGGAGUCCAUGUCAACAGAGCACCUCCUACUUCAUCCUCCCAGGUGUGGAUGACAGUGACCAUAGGUGCUUUAAUGGAUGCCAGACACUCCUCACCAAUGAAUGGCUUUGCUGAUGACAGUGCCCUCUGGGACCUCCAGGGGUCAUAAUGAGGGGGUGGCUGAGCAGAUCCCCCAUAGUAAAUUCAUUCUCACUUUACUUUUCCCCUAAGCCUUUGGAUUCUUCCUUCUGUAUUUUAUAAAGGAAGUGUUGGCAACUCAACUUGAUUUAAUAAAGGCCACAAGUGAGUCCAGGCUUCCGUCAACCAGCAAGGAAAGCUGCAGGAGCCAAUCCCCACUGUUCAAACUAAAACUUGAAAUCUGGACUGUCUGGUACAUUCACCCAUACUGGGGUGUUCUGUCAGUAUGAAUCAGAUCAAGUUGGUUGAUAGUGUUUUUCAGAUAAUCUACAUUCUUGCUGAUUUUCUAUCCAUUACUGAAUGUUCAACUAGACUUACAGACUUGUGUAUUCAUAUCCACAGAUCUUUCAGUGUUUGGCUCAUGUAAAGUACUUUCGUUAUGUGCAUAUUAUGUCUUUUUGGAUAAUUGACCCCUUUAUAAUCUUAUAAUAUUAUCUUGAUAAUAUUCCUUGUUCUGAAGUCUACUUGAUCUGAAAUUAGCAUAGCAACUCCAGCUUUCUCUUGGUUAGUGUUUAUAUGGUAUAUUGCUGUGCAUCCUUUUAUUAACCUGUAUCCUUAUAUUUAAAGCAGAUUUCUUGCAACUGGAAUAUGGUUAGCUCUUGCUUUUUAAAUCUACUCUGACAAUCUCUUAUCAGAGAUUAACAUGUGUGUUUAAAUUAUUCACAUCUCAAGUGAUUAUUGAUGCAACUGGGUUAAAAAUUACUAUCCUGCUAGCUAUUUUCAAUUUGUUUCAUUUGCUUAUUUUUCCCCCAAGUUUUUUUUUUGCCUUCUCUGGGUUUAACUGAACAUUUUAAAAUUCCGUUGUUCCCACCUCCUAUCCCUUGUGCCACUGUCAUCAUACAUUUCACUUUUACAUAUUCUCCUUUCUCCUAACACAAACUACAUUGUUAUUGUUAGUGCUUUAAAUGGUCAAAUUUUUAGAGCAAUUAAAGAUAAGGAAAAUAUUUUAUUUUACCUUCAUUUACUACAUUUUUGAUGUUCUUCAUUUCUUUGUGUAGCUCCAAGGUUUUCGUUGUUGUUAUUGUUGUUUUUGAGAUGGAGUCUCUCUCUGUCACUCAGGCUGGAGUGCAGUGGCAUGAUCUCAGCUCACUGUAACCUCUGCCUCCCAGGUUCAAGCGAUUCUCCUGCCUCAGUCUCCCGAGUAGCUGGGAUUACAGGUGUGUGCCACCACACCAGGCUAAUUUUUGUAUUUUUAGUAAAGACAGGGUUUCACCAUGUUGGCCAGGCUGAUCUCGAACUCCUGACCUCAGGUGAUCUGCCCGUCUUGGCCUCCCAAAGUUCUGGGAUUACAGGCGUGAGUCAUUGCGCCUGGCCGAGCGCUCAAGUUUUUAACUGUAUCACAUUCUUCCUCCUUGAAGAAUUUCCAUUGAUAUUUUUUGUAGUGUAGGUCUGCUAAAAAUGAAUUCUCUCAGUUGCUGUUUAUCUGAGAAAGUUUAUUUUUCUUUCAUGCUGAAGGAUAGUUUCACUGGAUAAAGAAUUUUAGGUUAACAGAUUUUUUUUUCUUCAGCACUUCAAAGAUG